GACGAACGCUGGCGGCGUGCUUAACACAUGCAAGUCGAACGGAAAGGCCCUGCUUUUGUGGGGUGCUCGAGUGGCGAACGGGUGAGUAACACGUGAGUAACCUGCCCUUGACUUUGGGAUAACUUCUGGAAACUGGGGCUAAUACCGGAUAGGAGCUCCUGCUGCAUGGUGGGGGUUGGAAAGUUUCGGCGGUUGGGGAUGGACUCGCGGCUUAUCAGCUUGUUGGUGGGGUAGUGGCUUACCAAGGCUUUGACGGGUAGCCGGCCUGAGAGGGUGACCGGCCACAUUGGGACUGAGGUACGGCCCAGACUGCUACGGGAGGCAGCAGGGGGGAAUAUUGCACAAUGGGCGGAAGCCUGAUGCAGCAGCGCCGCGUGCGGGAUGACGGCCUUCGGGUUGUAAACCGCUUUCGCCUGUGACGAAGCGUGAGUGACGGUAAUGGGUAAAGAAGCACCGGCUAACUACGUG
rnacentral:rRNA from 1 species